AUGAACGCUGGCGGCGUGCCUAAUACAUGCAAGUCGAGCGAACGGACGAGAAGCUUGCUUCUCUGAUGUUAGCGGCGGACGGGUGAGUAACACGUGGAUAACCUACCUAUAAGACUGGGAUAACUUCGGGAAACCGGAGCUAAUACCGGAUAAUAUUUUGAACCGCAUGGUUCAAAAGUGAAAGAUGGUCUUGCUGUCACUUAUAGAUGGAUCCGCGCUGCAUUAGCUAGUUGGUAAGGUAACGGCUUACCAAGGCAACGAUGCAUAGCCGACCUGAGAGGGUGAUCGGCCACACUGGAACUGAGACACGGUCCAGACUCCUACGGGAGGCAGCAGUAGGGAAUCUUCCGCAAUGGGCGAAAGCCUGACGGAGCAACGCCGCGUGAGUGAUGAAGGUCUUCGGAUCGUAAAACUCUGUUAUUAGGGAAGAACAUAUGUGUAAGUAACUGUGCACAUCUUGACGGUACCUAAUCAGAAAGCCACGGCUAACUACGUG
rnacentral:rRNA from 1 species